rnacentral:rRNA from 1 species
AGCUCCAAUAGCGUAUAUUAAAGUUGUUGCAGUUAAAAAGCUCGUAGUUGAGUUUUAGGCCCGGUUGGACGGUCUGCCUUUGGGUUUGUACUGUCCUGACUGGGCCUUACCUUCUGGUGAGCUGUCGUGUUGUUUGCUCAGCGCGGCAGGGAACCAGGACUUUUACUUUGAAAAAAUUAGAGUGUUUAAAGCAGGCAUUCGCUUGAAUACAUUAGCAUGGAAUAAUAGAAUAGGACUUUGGUUCUAUUUUGUUGGUUCCUAGGACCGAAGUAAUGAUUAAUAGGGAUAGUUGGGGGCAUUAGUAUUUAAUUGUCAGAGGUGAAAUUCUUGGAUUUAUGAAAGACUAACUUCUGCGAAAGCAUUUGCCAAGGAUGUUUUCA